GACGAACGCUGGCGGCGUGCUUAACACAUGCAAGUCGAACGGAAAGGCCCUGCUUUUGUGGGGUGCUCGAGUGGCGAACGGGUGAGUAACACGUGAGUAACCUGCCCUUGACUUUGGGAUAACUUCAGGAAACUGGGGCUAAUACCGGAUAGGAGCUCCUGCUGCAUGGUGGGGGUUGGAAAGUUUCGGCGGUUGGGGAUGGACUCGCGGCUUAUCAGCUUGUUGGGGGGGUAGUGGCUUACCAAGGCUUUGACGGGUAGCCUGCCUGAGCGGGUGACCGGCCACAAUGGGACUGAGAUACGGCGCAGACGCCUACGGGAGGCAGCAGGGGGGAAUAUUGCACAAUGGGCGGAAGCCUGAUGCAGCAACGCCGCGUGCGGGAUGACGGCCUUCGGGUUGUAAACCGCUUUCGCCUGUGACGAAGCGUGAGUGACGGUAAUGGGUAAAGAAGCACCGGCUAACUACGUG
rnacentral:rRNA from 1 species